GUAAAAAAAAGUAAUGAUAUGAUAUGUAUACUAAAAUUAUACACUCAAAGUGACGUGACACUAUUUUUAAAACACUGAGUUUUAAUUUUAAUAAAUGUAAUUGACUAGUUUAAAUUGUUACUCCAUUGGCAUCAUAUGUUUUUAUCAAAAUACAAAUUUGGUACCCUAUGUUUAUAAUAAUGAUCAUUUGGUACCAUAUGUUCAAAAAUUCUACGCAAUUCCCAGUACCUUUAGUGUAUCCAAAUUUAUAUUAUUCUCAGUUUACCAUUAUUUUAAUUAUUUUUAAAUGUUUUUUUCAAUUAAUUAAACAAAAAAAUAUUUAAUUAACAUCAACUGAAAAUAAAAUCGGUUCUUAAAAAAAAUUUAACAAAACUAAAACAUGAAAACAAUUUUUUCCCCUAUUUUCUUCUCUUUCUUCUUCCCUUUCUUCUUCAUCUGCCAAAGAUGGGUCGAGUUGUUGAGGAGGGCACAUCGGCGUAAUUGGGGAGGGUCAGAUCUGGGUGGAGUUGAUGGAGAUGACGACGUUUUGAACGGAGCUCGCGAACGAAGGGCGAGAUUUGGGUGGAUUUGGGUGUUGCGAACAGAUUUGAAACCGUCGGGAUGGAGAGAUCUUGUCAGAGGCUCAGUAGCGCCGAUGAAGAAAGCUUCUAGUUGAGUGAGGUUGUAGCUGCGUGAGGAUGCUGACGUCGUGGUUAGCGGUGGGAUGAGUACAUCAGAGAGGGUUCCGACGGCAAGAUCGGGGGCAAUGAUGGCAUAAGAACAUCGAGUUCUGGAAGGUUGAUUCAACAUGUUACAUGUUUUAGGCCAACUUGGAGAUGAAACAAGGAAGAAAAAAUGGAGGCUUCAUUCUAUAGAUCUGAGCUGUCCACACCAAAAUCGUAUAUGUCAGAUCAUCAUCUUCUAAAAAAGACAAUUCUUCAUCAAUCAAGAAUAUCUUCAAUUAUUCUUGUAUUUAUUAUGAGAUUAUUUCUCAGCCUUUAUGAGCACGAAAAAUGACUCUAUAAAUCGAGCUCUAAAGGCAGUGAGAAAUAGUGAACUCUUUGGUGCAUAAUUUGUGAGUGUAUUGUAAUAUUUGUGAGAGUUCCUUAUUUGUAUUCACAUGAUCUUGUAGAAAUAUGAGUGUUUAGGUUUUUGUAGUGAGUUUAUACUACGUACAUGAGUGAAUGCACAUUGUAAUUUAAACACAACUUUUAUAGUUUUCGGCAAAAGAUUUUUACAAGCCUUGCGUCAGAAGGAUGCAAGCACUCGCUGGGCAUUGAAGGGAGUUCAAGUGGUUGAGCAUUUCAAUCAAGAUCAGAUUAGUGAAGAGAAGUACAACAAAGUUGUGGCAAAUCUCAAGAUGGAGUCUUGUUUUGUUUAAGUCAAUAUUUUGUACUUGUGAUUCUUUAUUAAUUGGUUUUAUUCUCUGGGUGUGGCCCCAAGGAGUAGGUUAUCCGAAAGUGUUUCUGAACCUUGUAAAAAUU